GGGCAAGGGCCGCCGGCGGCCGCAGCGCCGUGGCGCUGGGACCGGCCUGCCCCGCCCCUGGGCAGGGCCACUCGGGCGACUCCGCCAGGCGGGAGCAGACGCCUGAAGCUCCAGGGGAGAGCGGGCGGCCGGGGCAGGGUAGGGUCUGUGGAUGGGAGCCGCCGGGCUGACCCACUUCCCCAGUUUUCCCCUCGGCAGCGCUCACGGAGAUGGAAAGGCGGCCGCCUCACUCCGCUGACUGACCCGGGAGAGUCGCUGCAGCGGGGAGCAAGCCGCCCGCAGGGGCUCCCGCACCGGCCGGCGCCGCCCCGCCCUUCCUUUGGGAAAGGGAAAAGGCUCCCGAAGCCUCAGAGGAGGAACUCCCCCUCCUGUUCUCACAUUAUCCUAAGCCUGUAAAUCUGGCAGGCCCAGAACACUGCCACAACACCAGCUAACCCCCAGCAGCAAAAUCAAGAAAUGUGGCAGCAAGAGCAUACAGCAUUCAAGGCACCAUCUUGGAAGCAGAUAGCAGCCCUCACCAGAUGCCAACCUUGAUCUUGGACUUCCCAGCCUCUAGAAAUAAGCUGCCUGGCCUCCUUAUGCAGUCCCCUUCAUCUUCAAGAAGAAACCGCAUUGAGUCCUUCUCAUGCUUCAAAUAUCUCUGACUUCCUCUUUUGCCAACAGCCAGAGAAAACGUUUACCGUUUAAAGGUCUCAUGUGAUUCCCUGGAUAAUUGUUCUAUUCUAAAGUCAGCGAUUAGUCACCUUAGUUGCAUCUUCAAAGUUGCUUUUGCCAUGUAAUAUCACAGAAGUAAUUCCAGGGUGAAGAUCAUGAGAGCUACAUAGACUCCUGCUUCCUGCAUGAUUAUCUUGAGGAAUAAGUAAAGGUGUAUAUGUAAAACAUUUAGAACAGUGUUUUAUUUUGUGAUACUGAUAAUAAGAACUCAAUAAAAAUUCAAUAUUUCAUUUGUCUACA